rnacentral:rRNA from 1 species
UCCUACGGGAGGCAGCAGUGGGGAAUUUUGGACAAUGGGCGCAAGCCUGAUCCAGCCAUGCCGCGUGAGUGAAGAAGGCCUUCGGGUUGUAAAGCUCUUUCGGCAGGAACGAAAUGGUCCGUGCCAAUACCACGGACUGAUGACGGUACCCGCAGAAGAAGCCCCGGCUAACUCCGUGCCAGCAGCCGCGGUA